rnacentral:rRNA from 1 species
AUGGCGCACCACGCGACCAUCUACUCAGCGGCAGCCGCGCUGCUGCUGAUGCUGCUUCAGCUCUCCGCCGGAGCAGCAGCAGCACAAGCGCCAAGAGGGAUGCCCGGCUGCCACACAAGCUGCGGCAACAUAAGAGUGCCGUACCCGUUCGGCAUGGGCCCGUCCUACUGUUACAUGCCGGGGUUCAACCUCACAUGCGACCGGUCAAGCAACCCACCGCGGCUCCUCCUCGGGGACGGCACGCUGCGGGUCUCCAAAGAUAUCGACCCCAGUUAUUCCGGGUUAACCGUCGUCUACACUGGCGGCAUCAAAAUCGACGGUGGCGGCCAAGGCAGGCUCGGCGGCGGCCUCGGCAACGAUUGUCCCUACCGACUGUCGGGAGGGAACUACCUCAUCCUCUUGGGCUGCAACGUGCGAGCGACGUUGAGGAAUGGCAACAUCACCAUGAGCAGUUGCUCCUCUGUCUGCUCAAAUGACUACGACGGGCGCACCUCCACCUCCCACAUGCCAUCCAGGCUCUCCAGCCCGCAGAAAGGCUUGCUAUGCUCCGGCGAAGGCUGCUGCCAGGCACCCAUCGUCCUCAACCACGGGGGACUGGCCGGAUCAAAGGAGCUGGUACCCAUGUCGUGGAGCUGGAGUCUUUCGAGUGGAACCGCAGCGCCGUCCGGAAAUUGCCCACGCGCGUCUUCGUCGCCACGUACGGCUGGUUCGCGGCAUGGAGCUUCUCGCACCAGCUUUCCACGCCAUCCUCAUCGACCGAAGUUCCCAUCUGGCUCGAUUGGGAAGUGAUGGAUGGCCACAAGGACGACGAAGAUCAGCUGCAGAGUUCGGAGAAGUGUCCUAGGAACUUGGCCCGUAGAGUCUGCAGGAGCGACAAAGCGUACUGCGGUAGAGGUUCGACAGGCGGCUACUGGUGCUCCUGCAGUAAAGGCUACAUGGGCAAUCCCUACAUCAGCAACGGAUGCCAAGACAUCGACGAGUGUGAGCAUUCAGAAUUCAACAUCCACAACUGCUAUGGUCAGUGUACCAAUACGGAUGGUUCGUUUCAGUGCCGUUGCCCAAACGGAACCCGCGGGGACCCGUACAUCCCUGGUGGCUGCUUCAGUUUCCUCACUGAUAAUUGUAGCAUGUCCUGUGGCAAUCUGAGUGUGCCAUACCCGUUUGGCAUAGGCCCGGCCAAGUGCUAUGUGCCAGGGUUCAAGCUCACUUGUGACACCAGCCACCGCCCUCCGCGACUGAUGCUAGGCCGACUCCAAGUCGUCGAUAUCUCCCUCCGCAAGAACACCAUCCGAGUCAUCAACAUUGACCGAGUCUCUAGAUUCGAUGAUUUCAUACGCAGUUUUAAUGGCAUCAGCUUUGGGAUCGGCCCGGGAGAGGCGGUGCCCUACUCGCUGUCUACCCACAAUGAGCUCAUCCUCAUGGGGUGCAAUGUGCAGGCGGUGUUGUCCAACACUGGGAAGAACCGGGAAAUCCUUAGUGGUUGCUCCUCCUUCUGCCCCACAAACAAGAAUGUAACCUAUGAUACCGCGGCAGCUUCUAGCAUGGAUGAUAAGGAGUACUGCUAUGGCAUGGGCUGCUGCCAAGCACACAUCUCCACGUCUAGGGAUGGCAUGCCGAGUGAAUUAUGGGUUGAUUGGAUAGACCCCAACAUGUACUCGGUUAGGCUAUUGCCGCUGUCAUACGUGUUCAUCGCCGCAGAAGGGUGGUUCAACAAGAGUUGGGUCUCUGCCCAGCUUCCGGAGUCGUCAUGGACAAACGGUCUAGGACCUAGACUGAAGGUUCCCACUAUUCUAGACUGGGAGAUCUUGCAACUGCAACCAACCAGCUCGCAGCAGCUAGCCAAUGUGAGCAUACCACAGCGGAAAACACAAUAUAUCAAGUGUCCUGGCAUAUGUAGGAGCAAGAACAGUCUCUGCAAACCAAUGAUCAGAGGCUACUCGUGUCAAUGUAGUGAGGGUUACGACGGCAAUGCCUAUCUCAUCGAUGGAUGCAAAGGUGUUGGUCGCAAACGCUUUAAAGGCAUGAGCAGCGUCAUAGGAGUUGCUGCUGGAGCUGGACUAGUAUUAUUGUUUCUUGCUGUAUUUUUCAUUAUGAAGAAACUAAAACAUGGGAGGUCUCAAAUGUUAAAACGUAAGUUCUUCGAACAAAAUCGCGGCCAGCUUUUGCAACAAUUGGUAUCCCAAAGUGCUGGCAUUGCAGAAAGAAUGAUCAUAAACUUAGAAGAGCUAGAGAAGGCAACUCAUCGCUUUGAUAAAGAUCUUGUGGUUGGUGGCGGAGGACAUGGUAUUGUUUACAAAGGGAUAUUAUCAAACCAACAUAUUGUGGCAAUCAAGAAACCGAAGAAGGUGUUGAAGAAGGAGAUCGAUGAGUUUAUCAAUGAGGUAGCUAUCCUAUCACAAAUAAACCAUAGAAAUGUCGUAAAACUCUAUGGUUGUUGCCUUGAAACCGAAGUACCAAUGUUAGUCUAUGAGUUCAUAUCUAAUGGGACACUUUAUGAGCAUCUUCAUGUCGAGGGACCAAAAUCCUUGUCUUGGGAUGACAGGUUGCGCAUAGCCAUUGAGGCAGCAAAAUCAUUGGCCUAUCUUCACUUAGCUGCUUCAGCACCUAUCAUCCAUAGGGAUGUCAAGUCUGCUAACAUACUUUUGGAUGAUACUCUGACAGCAAAGGUAGCAGAUUUUGGAGCUUCAAGGUACAUCCCGAUGGAUAUAUCUGGGGUUACAACAAGGGCUCAAGGUACGAGAGGGUAUUGGGAUCCUGUGUACUUUUACACAGGGCGGCUAACUGAGAAAAGUGAUGUAUAUAGCUUCGGGGUCGUCCUUGUGGAACUGCUAACCAGGAAGAAACCAUUUUCAUAUUUGUCCUCGGACGAUGAGAGUCUUGUUGCACACUUUGCUACCCUGUUUGAAAAAGGUCAAUUGCCACAGAUAUUAGAUCCACAAGUCAUCGAGGAAGGAGGCAAAAAAGUGGAAGAAGUGGCUACUAUCGCGGUUUCCUGCAUAAAACUGAGCAGAGAGGAUCGCCCGACCAUGAGGCAAGUGGAGUUGACACUAGAAGGCACACAUGCAUCUACAGGGAAACCUUCGAAUAAUACAUCUCCAUUUCCAAAAGUUGAAAGCAACCCUAGGGGGUCGAUCAGGCGGUACAGUAUGGAACUUGAGUUCAGGUUAUCUGCAGAGCACCCUCGGUAG